AGUGAACGCUGGCGGUAGGCCUAACACAUGCAAGUCGAACGGCAGCACAGUAAGAGCUUGCUCUUACGGGUGGCGAGUGGCGGACGGGUGAGGAAUAAAUCGGAAUCUACUUUUUCGUGGGGGAUAACGUAGGGAAACUUACGCUAAUACCGCAUACGACCUACGGGUGAAAGCAGGGGAUCUUCGGACCUUGCGCGAUUGAAUGAGCCGAUGUCGGAUUAGCCAGUUGGCGGGGCAAAGGCCCACCAAGGCGACGAUCCGUAGCUGGUCUGAGAGGAUGAUCAGCCACACUGGAACUGGGACACGGUCCAGACUCCUACGGGAGGCAGCAGUGGGGAAUAUUGGACAAUGGGCGCAAGCCUGAUCCAGCCAUACCGCGUGGGUGAAGAAGGCCUUCGGGUUGUAAAGCCCUUUUGUUGGGAAAGAAAAGCAGCAGGUUAAUACCCCGCUGUUCUGACGGUACCCAAAGAAUAAGCACCGGCUAACUUCGUG
rnacentral:rRNA from 1 species